AUACGGAGGGUGCAAGCGUUAUCCGGAUUUAUUGGGUUUAAAGGGUGCGUAGGCGGUUAUUUAAGUCAGUGGUGAAAGUUUUCGGCUCAACCGGAAAAUUGCCAUUGAUACUGGGUAGCUAGAAUAUGGUUGCUGUGAGUAGAAUGCGUGGUGUAGCGGUGAAAUGCAUAGAUAUCACACAGAAUACCGAUUGCGAAGGCAUCUCACAAAGCCAUCAUUGACGCUGAGGCACGAAAGUGUGGGGAUCAAACAGGAUUAGAUACCCUGGUAGUCCACACUGUAAACGAUGAUAACUAGCUGUUGGCGAUACACAGUCAGUGGCCAAGCGAAAGCGAUAAGUUAUCCACCUGGGGAGUACGACCGCAAGGUUGAAACUCAAAGGAAUUGACGGGG
rnacentral:rRNA from 1 species